rnacentral:rRNA from 1 species
AGAGAGAGACAUGCGCGCAUAUCAAUAAGCGGAGGAAAAGAAACUAACUAGGAUUCCCUUAGUAACGGCGAGUGAAGCGGGAAGAGCUCAAAUUUGAAAUCUUCAAGGUUUUACCUUGACGAAUUGUAGUUUAAAGAAGUGUUUUCUGUUGGUGUUUUGGUAAAAGUUCUUUGGAAUAGGACAUCAUAGAGGGUGAGAAUCCCGUAUUUGACCAUUACUUCCAGCGUUGUGAUACACCUUCAACGAGUCGGAUUGUUUGGGAAUGCAGUCCAAAAUGGGUGGUAAAUUUCAUCUAAAGCUAAAUAUUGGCGAGAGACCGAUAGCGAACAAGUACCGUGAGGGAAAGAUGAAAAGAACUUUGAAAAGAGAGUUAAACAGUACGUGAAAUUGUCAAAAGGGAAGCGUUUGACACCAGUGUUGUUUUCUCGAAAAUCAAUUAACGAAUGAUUUGGAUUUUUGAUGAGUUAUGACUUCAUCAGCUUAGCUCCUUUUCUUACGUACUUUCUUAAUGCACUUUUCGUUAACAAGUCAACAUCAAUUUCUUUUGUUGUAAAAGAGUAUGAGGAAGGUGGCUUUCUUUUCGGAGAAAGUGUUUAUAGCCUUGCCUCUGCAAUCGGAGAGAUUGAGGUCUGCAGCGUAGAUCCUUCGGGGUUAGAUACGUUUGUGCUAAGUUAUAGCUUUUCAUAGACAACUUGUUGACUAUGUUUAGUCUUGUAGCUUACUCGCUGACGCUAUUUUACCUACGCUUAGGAUGUUGAUAGUCACAGCGUGUAC